CCUACGGGAGGCAGCAGUGGGGGAUAUUGCACAAUGGGGGAAACCCUGAUGCAGCGACGCCGCGUGGGCGAAGAAGUAUUUCGGUAUGUACAGCCCUAUCAGCAGGGAAGAAGAAAUGACGGUACCUGAGUAAGAAGCACCGGCUAAAUACGUGCCAGCAGCCGCGGUAAUACGUAGGGGGCGAGCGUUAUCCGGAAUUACUGGGUGUAAAGGGAGCGUAGACGGCGAGGUAAGCCUGAAGUGGAAGCCCGCGGCCCAACCGCGGAACUGCUUUGGGAACUGUUUUGCUGGAGUAUGGGAGGGGUAAGCGGAAUUCCUGGUGUAGCGGUGAAAUGCAUAGAUAUCGCGCAGAACCCCGAUUGCGAAGGCAGCGUGCCGUGCCGCCACUGACGCUGAGGCACGAAAGCGCGGGGAUCGAACAGGAUUAGAUACCCCAGUAGUC
rnacentral:rRNA from 1 species